AGUGAACGCUGGCGGCAGGCCUAACACAUGCAAGUCGAGCGGCAGCGCGGGGGCAACCCUGGCGGCGAGCGGCGGACGGGUGAGGAAUUCGUCGGAAUCUGCCUUUUUGUGGGGGAUAACGUAGGGAAACUUACGCUAAUACCGCAUACGUCCUACGGGAGAAAGUGGGGGACCGCAAGGCCUCACGCAGAAAGAUGAGCCGACGACCGAUUAGCUAGUUGGUGGGGUAAAGGCCCACCAAGGCGACGAUCGGUAGCUGGUCUGAGAGGAUGAUCAGCCACACUGGGACUGAGACACGGCCCAGACUCCUACGGGAGGCAGCAGUGGGGAAUAUUGGACAAUGGGCGCAAGCCUGAUCCAGCCAUGCCGCGUGUGUGAAGAAGGCCUUCGGGUUGUAAAGCACUUUUGUCCGGAAAGAAAUCCCUGGAGCUAAUACCUUCGGGGGAUGACGGUACCGGAAGAAUAAGCACCGGCUAACUUCGU
rnacentral:rRNA from 1 species